CCCUUAGAUGUUCUGGGCCGCACGCGCGCUACACUGACGAUGGCAACGAGUUUUUCCUUCGCCGAAAGGUGUGGGUAAUCUUUUGAAACAUCGUCGUGCUGGGGAUAGAUCAUUGCAAUUUUUGAUCUUGAACGAGGAAUUCCUAGUAAGCGCGAGUCAUCAGCUCGCGUUGAUUACGUCCCUGCCCUUUGUACACACCGCCCGUCGCUACUACCGAUUGAAUGGUUUAGUGAGGACUCCUGAUUGGCGCCGCCGCCCCGGCAACGGAGCAGCGGACUGCCGAAAAGUUGUUCAAACUUGAUCAUUUAGAGGAAGUAACAGUCGUAACA
rnacentral:rRNA from 1 species